rnacentral:rRNA from 1 species
CCUACGGGUGGCAGCAGUGGGGGAUAUUGCACAAUGGGGGGAACCCUGAUGCAGCGACGCCGCGUGGGUGAAGAAGCGCCUCGGCGCGUAAAGCCCUGUCAGCAGGGAAGAAAAUGACGGUACCUGAAGAAGAAGCGCCGGCUAACUACGUGCCAGCAGCCGCGGUAAUACGUAGGGGGCAAGCGUUAUCCGGAUUUAAUGGGUGUAAAGGGGGCGCAGACGGCGAUGCAAGCCAGGAGUGAAAGCCCGGGGGCCAACCCCGGGACUGCUCUUGGAACUGCGUGGCUGGAGUGCAGGAGGGGCAGGCGGAAUUCCUGGUGUAGCGGUGAAAUGCGUAGAUAUCAGGAGGAACACCGGUGGCGAAGGCGGCCUGCUGGACUGCAACUGACGUUGAGGCCCGAAAGCGUGGGGAGCAAACAGGAUUAGAUACCCCAGUAGUC